rnacentral:rRNA from 1 species
UUCCGUAGGUGAACCUGCGGAAGGAUCAAUUAUACGUCAUUCAACAUUCAACCAUUUUGAAACUGGGCGUGGGAUGGUCGUCAGACCGACCCAACGGUGAUUGACUGGUUGGUGGCACAUCACCAUCAGCUGGCCUUUUGCCCCUGCUCACCUUUUUUGUACAAGUUUUUUCUGACUAAAAUCAGCAAAGUUAUUUUACAAUUUUGGGCGAUGGAUGUCUCGGCUCAGGCAACGAUGAAGGACGCCGCUAAAUGCGAUAAGCGCUGUGAAUGGCAGAUUUCCGUGAAUCAAGAGAAUGUUGAACGCAUACUGCGCCUUAGCGGCUAACCCCGCGUGGCAUGUCUGGUUCAGGGCUGUUAGCAUUUUAUGUUGCCCACGAUGCAGCACUUCGGUGUCUGUUAGUGUGUAUACGUUUGUGUGCGCUAGCGACGUGAUAGACUUUGUCUAUGUUCCGGUGGCGCAUGAAACUCAGGUGGUCUGGUUGAUCCUAGGCUUCGCACAAUCACGCCUCGUGCUAAUCUUUUAGUUUUGGCUGGAUGGUGAUGAAGGUCUAUGGGUGAGCAGCUACCUCAGAUAACAUUUUUUCUUCGGCAUGAACUCAGAUAAGGCUACCCGCUGAAUUUAAGCAUAUCAAUA